AUGACCUCAGCUCAAGCAAGAAUACCCGCUGAACUUAAGCAUAUCAAUAAGCGGAGGAAAAGAAACUAACAAGGAUUCCCCUAGUAAUGGCGAAUGAAGAGGGAAAAGCUCAAAUUUUAAAUCUACCUGGUUCCCAGGUCGAAUUGUAAUUUGAAGAAGCGAUAUCGGUGUUAAGGUCUGGUUCAAGUUCUUUGGAACAAGACAUCAUGGAGGGUGAGAAUCCCGUGCAUGAUCAGACCGAGAUACUUAAUAUUCGUUCUCUAAGAGUCGAGUUGUUUGGGAAUGCAGCUCAAAAUGGGUGGUAGACUUCACCUAAGGCUAAAUAUCAGCGAGAGACCGAUAGCGAACAAGUACUGUGAAGGAAAGAUGAAAAGAACUUUGAAAAGAGAGUUAAAUAGUACGUGAAAUUGUUGAAAGGGAAACGAUUGAAGUCAGUCAUGCUAGUGAAAAUUCAGUUUGGCGGAUUUUGGGUUUAGGAGUAGAGGCAGGGUCAAACCGUUUCUCUUUUGAACUUGGAAUUUGUCAGAUGCACUUUUUCUUUGGCAGGUCAGCGUCGAUUUCGGAGGUUGUAAAAUACUUGGGGUAAAGUAGCUCUGCUUCGGGAGAGUGUUAUAGACCUUGGGGGAUGCAGCCUGCGGGAUCGAGGAUUGCAGCAAAUGCUUUUUGGCUUGUCGCCUGAUCUCUGGAUGUUACCUCGCUUGUAACAACAUUCUUGUUGCCGGUGAGUACUAAUGCCUAUUAGGUUAGAGCGAUCAAAAAUUUUGCUAAGGAUGCUGACGUAAUGGCUUUAAACGACCCGUCUUGAAACACGGACCAAGGAGUCUAACAUAUGUGCGAGUGUUUGGGUGACAAACCCGGAACGCGUAAUGAAAGUGAAUAUGGGUGGGAUCCCCCUCGUGGGGAGCACCAUCAACCGAUCAGGAUAUUUUUUGAUAGAUUUGAGUAAGAGCACAUCUGUUGGGACCCGAAAGAUGGUGAACUAUGCCUGAAUAGGGUGAAGCCAGAGGAAACUCUGGU
rnacentral:rRNA from 1 species